UCGCAGGUCAGCAUACUGCGGUGAAUACGUUCCCGGGUCUUGUACACACCGCCCGUCACACCAUGGGAGCCGGAAAUGCCCGAAGCCAGUGACCCAACCUUAGGGAGGGAGCUGUCGAAGGUGGAGCCGGUAACUGGGGUGAAGUCGUAACAAGGUAUC
rnacentral:rRNA from 1 species